UAGCGGUAGAUCAGUUUGCAAGAAAAAGUAGAAUUCUCAAGUAGUCGAGGAAAUGGUUACAAGUUUUCGGAAAUUUCUAACCUAAAUAAAACAAAGUUCAUGCGAACCCUUCUCGUGUGUAAACAUAUUAUACAAGUAGAGUAACCAUUAUUUAAAUUGUUUCAAGAAUACUUGCAGUGGCGUAAAGGAAGAUCUUCUAAAAUAUGUUGUUCCAUAAUUCACGGGCAGAGAAUGUUUACGUAUUUUUCAAGUCGUUAGUAUCGAUCGCCAUACUUCAAAGCUGACCCCAGUCAAGCUCUCAAUACAUCUUUCUUAAAAUAUAUUAUCUCACUGACGAAUAAAUUUUUAAAACCUGACUUGGCCGAUUUAUUCGAUAUUUAUCGAUUUGAUUAUGUCAUCAAAUAUUAAUUGACUCGAGCGAGGAAAAGAAGAAAUUUACACAAGCGAUUAUACAAGCAAAAUUUUCCAAAAGUUAAAUUAGUUUUGGAAAAACAACUGCUGCAAGUUACCUAUAUCAUUCUAUUUUUUAAUAGUUGAAAUGAUCGUCAUUCGGACGGAAAUUUUGACGCGGAAUAGAAAAAAACAAGCGUUUUAAUAUCAAUAUGAAAGGAGAUUUAAAAAUGUUUAGUUAUAUUUAAAUAAUUUCAUACUUACAAUACUCUAAUAACAUAACAUCUGGCUAAUUUGCUGCAGUAUUCUGUUUAAAGAGGGAGAGACAGAGAGAGGGGAAGAGAGAUACCCACUAUUCCCAAGGAACGUAGUUUGAGCGGAAACGGAAGCCCUAAAAUACAGAUGUAGAAUUAUGGGAACCGAUAGGAUAUCCAUAAAACAUCAUUAACCAGCACGGCUAUUGGAAGCGAGAACACAGCAGUAAUUAUAACCAGGAAUCACGAGAAUGUAAUGGGAACAGACAAUAACCGUGAGAGAAUAUUAAUGCAUUCUACUUAACAAAGUCUGAAUUGGGUUAGAGUGAACGCAUCUUGUCACAAACUUAAGUUCUAUUGCGAAUUCUUGCCGUUGAAAUCAAAUUUUAACACGUUGAUUGCUAUGUUUGCACAAAACCAACAAAAAGUCAGGUAACUUAACUAGUAUCUGGUACCUACUAUUCUAUUCUACAGAUCUUGAUCAUAAAACAUACUUUAUGUCUUCUGUAAAAAUAGAUAUUCUUAUUACCAUCAAAUGAAAUUGAGAGAAGUGUGUGUUUUUUGAUAUAUUCACUUCAAUAUCGUUCGAUAGACGUAUCGACGUCAUUCUUUCUAACAUACUUUUCAAUAAUCUAACGUGUGUUAGAUAUUAUAUUAACAAGUAUAUCAUACUUAAUCAUUGAAGAAUACAUUAAGCGGUCACUUCUCACGAAAUUAGAAUAUAUAUAGUUUGUCUGAUUAAUUAAUCCAUACGAAACAUUGUGCGUGGUCAUUUAAACUCGUUCCACAAACGAGCAAUCGUUCAAACAAGAAUCCCUUUAAUCAAGAAAAACUAGCGCAGUCCCUGAAGUAAAACUUUCACGCGCGGUACGUUUAAUUCUACAUCUUUUUAUUUUGACUGUCCUUCCGACCAAGUAAUUUUCGUCAAGUAAUUCCGAUAAAACGUUAACACGCGGCUCUUCAAGUUAUCUUGUCAUACCAUGUCUUGCGAGUGUUACUCUGUAAUUUCUGGCUGGAUGGAUCGUGUAUACGAUUCGGAGUCGCGGAUAAAAGACGAAUCGAACUGAUAGAGGGUUAAAGAAAGCGAAAAGGGAAGAUAAGGCGAACAGAUUGUCUGACGAAACGAGGAAAAAAAGGCAAGGUACCUCUCUCGAUUAUGCAUGCUUUCCUGACGCAAGAACUGGGCUAAUGGUUAGUAUUCUAGAGAAUUAUCGUUGCAGACUAAUUGCGCCCAUGCUGGCUGUUGCCCAACUGCUCUCGCUGCGGAAUGUUUCUAUUCAGCGUCUCUUUGUGUGUCAAUGAGGAAACACUUAUAUCAAGAAGUGUGAUGUACAUUGGAUGUUAAAAGCAAGCAUAUGUUUGAGAGUAUAACGUUCUGUCAGCUGUAUGUAACUUUCCUAAGUAUCGAACAAGCUUGAGCAAAUUGAAUUUGAAAUAAAAAUAAGGAAGAUAAUUUCAAAUAAUGAAUCAUCUCAAAUAGGUAUCUUGUUAUUUUCAUUUUAAAGAUAACACUGGUAAAGUAAUUUUAUUUCUGUUAAGAACGAACAAGACACCCUGUACGUUCUUUAUUAGACUACUCUGUAAUUUAAAAUCAUACAAAUAAAAUAGAACAUCGCUAAACGUCCGCCGUACCAUUCGAUAGCUUGGCAAAGCUCGGUCAUUCAAUCACACGAAUCACCGUAAUUCACCGCAAUCUAGAAAUCUACUCAAGGACGGUUCAUCAAAGGUUUCGAGUCGCUUCAAACGAAGCCGGAAGAGAGGAUGACAAAAGGAAUGAGCGAAACAAGCAGUCGUGUCGUGGACGAGCUCGCGAGCGUGCGUCAGUAGAAAUCCACGUAUCUGAUACCUUUUUAAUUAAUUUUAUAUUCUCUCGUCUCUCUCACAUAUAUUCCAUGGGCAAGAGAAAGAAGCACAGCCAGUGAAAGAGGGACAGCCAUCCAAGAGGCUUCGGCAAUUCAGCUGGAUGAGCAACGAGCUUAAAAGCUGACUCAGUCGUCCAACCAAGCAGACAGACGUGUGAACCAGAGGAACACACAAAGUCAAGCAGGACACGUUUGCACGAGCGAUUGUGAAUUUCCACGAGACGGUUUGUCCUUUGAGCCUUGCUGCGUUGGCCGGCAAAGGGAAGAUGAAGGAGCUUGUAAUUUUCCGAGCUCCGCGUUUCAGCUCGCGCGGCUAUUUUCUGCGGUUCACGCGUAUUAUGCAACCGACCCGGCUUGAACUGGCACGAGCUUACACGCCUCGCGUGCUUCCACUGUAUUCUCUGUUUCGAUUCUGUGUGUGAGUUCGCGCGGGUAUGCGUGAGAGAGAGGGAGAGAUCGCGCAUUCAGGAACCACUGAUGAACGCGUGCAUAUUCAACGCGCGACUCAAAGGGUGCUUUUGCAUUCCGUUACAUGUGCGCGGGAUGUAUCAAGUAUUUGGUGGAACUGAAACACCGAGGAACGGAGCAACGGAGAACUAUACGCGGAAAUUGCUGCGGGCACGUAACAAAAUUUGUCAGGAGAUGAGAUUUUCAGCGAAGGCAGUUAUGUACGCCGUAAGAAUGAAUGGCCGACCGGUGGAAAACGAGUUCUCGUGGUGCUAACAAUAAGAGCCCGUCCGUUUUCCUGAUGAAAGGGAUUUCCAACAUUUCAUACAGACGGAUCCUCAUAAAUGAAAUGCUAUUACGGAGCAAUAAUCGAAUACGUUAUCGAUAAAGCAGAAAAAACUACUUGGCCAAUAGAUAUAUUCAAAAUUGUUAAGGUUGAGGUUGACUGAUUGAAGAACGAGUGGAUGAAUUUGUAAUAAAAAAAUAUAUUGAAAUAAUUAAAGGUAUAAGUAUAAGUGUAAUGUAUAAGUUUAUGCUGAUUCAGAGCCUUAUUCUUUUAAUGUUACAAUACAAAGGAAUCGAUAGGGAGCACGUUCAUAUAUUUAUAGCAAAAAGACAUUACCAAAAAAGUUAAUCUUAUAGCUUUAGCUAGAGGCUACAAGGAACAUAAAUAAAAAUCUGUUUAUUAGUUCCUUUGUUCCUAGACCUUGCAAUCCGAAAUAUAAUGUAUAUUCAAGGG